UUUACAAUGCGCUUUCGGGGCAGAUUAUCCCUGCAGAAGUAACUUGCGGAAGUGGUGGUCGUCCAUGCUCGUGAAAAGAGGCCCUGUAGUUGGUGUUUGCUAACUAUGAUCUUUGAGUUUACUGGAUAAUUACAUAGCUGCAUUUUACGCGCAUAGUGUAGUUAAAUUCAAGUCCAUUAUGGCUGGAAGUCGACUUGAAAAAUUCGGAACAGUGUUCACGCGAGUCAGAGAUCUUAUGCGUUCUGGAGUUGUCAAACAGUCUGACAAGCCCAUUUGGUAUGAUGUAUACAAGGCCUUUCCACCCAAGAAAGACCCACUUUAUGUCAGACCAGUGGCCAAGAUCUAUGGGAAGAAAGAAGAGGCUGUGCCUGACAUCUUCUACAGAGAGGAUGAAAUCAGAGCGAAAUUCUAUGAGGUGUAUGGAACAGGGCCCAGAGCUUUUGAUCUCACUAAAUCCAACUUUGUUUCAACAUGCCAAAGGUUUGUGGAGAAGUAUACAGAGUUAGAGAGUUGGGGAGAGCUGGAGAAACAGUCCCUGUUUGAGGAGACUGGGAAAGCUCUCCUUGCUGAGGGCUUAGUAUUAAGGAGGAGGGGUGGACCUGCGGUGGCGUCAGAGACCAGGGAUCCAGUGUUGGGCAUGAAGCUGACUGACAUGCUGGCGGAACUGCAGACAGAUGCACCUGGCGAAACACAGACACCAGGAGAAGAGACACCAACACAAGCACCAGUGACUCCACAGUAGGCCUCUGCAACAUGGCUUCAACCAUACUCUUCACCUAGAUGGAACUCACAGGAGGCAUUAUGAGCCGUCCUCCCCUCAGCAGCCUUUACUGAUGGAACCACCCAUCCACCUCCACUGACUAAAAUGGGACUUUCAGUAUCUGUCCAACACCAGACUGAUACUCCUCAGUCCAGACUUUCUGAACAAUGGAUCAACAAGAAAGACUUCUUGUUCAGUAUUUCUGGGUGGGCCUGGGCAGCUUUCACAACCCUCUAUCUUGACUGCAGGUUCUUGACCGGUAAUGUGUAGGAUUCCAAGUUAUUGUACAUUUCUGGUCUGGAACCUUGUAAGACUGAUGUUAUGCAUAAGGCUGUAAAUGCAUAUUAAAUGUGUGUAUUAUAUACUGUAUGUCCUACUGAACUCUUGAGUAUUCACUUGCAAGAUGAUGCUUACGUUGCAGUGUGCUUUGACUUUCGACAGACCACCCCUGUGAUUAUCGAUUGGCACCGAGUGAUCAUUAAAGUAAUUAUAUAUAUUCUAGAA